UACAGAGGGUGCGAGCGUUGUCCGGAAUCACUGGGCGUAAAGGGCGCGUAGGCGGCUUGGUAAGCGUGCGGUGAAAGCUCGGGGCUCAACCCCGAGUCUGCCGUGCGAACUGCCGAGCUGGAGCACGGUAGGAGGCACGAUGGAAUUCCGGGUGUAGCGGUGGAAUGCGUAGAGAUCCGGAAGAACACCGGUGGCGAAGGCGGUGUGCUGGGCCGUACUGACGCUGAUGCGCGACAGCGGUGGGGAGCAAACAGG
rnacentral:rRNA from 1 species